rnacentral:misc_RNA from 1 species
GAUGAAGAACGUAGCGAAAUGCGAUAAGUAAUGUGAAUUGCAGAAUUCGGUGAAUCAUCGAAUCUUUGAACGCACCUUGCGCCCUUUGGCUAUUCCGAAGGGCAUGCCUGUUUGAGUAUCAUGAACACCUCAACUCUCAUGGUUUGCCAUGAUGAGCUUGGACUUUGGGGGUCUUGCCGGCCUAUGGGUCGGCUCCUCUCAAAUUAAUCAGCUUGCCAGUGUUUGGUGGCAUCACAGGUGUGAUAACUAUCUACGCUUGUGGUUUUCCAUCAGGUAACCUUCAGUGAUGGAGGUUCGCUGGGGCUCAUAAAUGUCUCUCCUCAGUGAGGACAGCUUUUUUGAACGUUUGAUCUCAAAUCAGGUAGAACUACCCGCUGAACUUAAGCAUAUCAAUAAGCGGAGGA